rnacentral:rRNA from 1 species
CCUACGGGUGGCAGCAGUGAGGAAUAUUGGUCAAUGGGCGCGAGCCUGAACCAGCCAAGCAGCGUGAAGGAUGACUGCCCUACGGGCUGUAAACUUCUUUUAUAAAGGAAUAAAGUGAGGCACGUGUGCCUCUUUGUAUGUACUUUAUGAAUAAGGAACGGCUAACUCCGCGCCAGCAGCCGCGGUAAUACGGAGGAUCCGAGCGUUAUCCGGAUUUAUUGGGUUUAAAGGGAGCGUAGAUGGGUUGUUAAGUCAGGUGUGAAAGGUUGCGGCUCAACCGUAAAAUUGCAAUUGAUACUGGCAGUCUUGAGUACAGUAGAGGUAAGCGGAAUUCGUGGUGUAGCAGUGAAAUGCUUAGAUAUCACGAAGAACUCCGAUUGCGAAGGCAGCUUACUAAACUGCCACUGACAUUGAUGCUCGAAAGUGUGGGUAUCAAACAGGAUUAGAUACCCGAGUAGUC